rnacentral:rRNA from 1 species
GAUGAACGCUGGCGGCGUGCCUAAUACAUGCAAGUCGAGCGAACAGAUGAGGAGCUUGCUCCUCUGACGUUAGCGGCGGACGGGUGAGUAACACGUGGAUAACCUACCUAUAAGACUGGGAUAACUUCGGGAAACCGGAGCUAAUACCGGAUAAUAUAUUGAACCGCAUGGUUCAAUAGUGAAAGACGGUUUUGCUGUCACUUAUAGAUGGAUCCGCGCCGCAUUAGCUAGUUGGUAAGGUAACGGCUUACCAAGGCAACGAUGCGUAGCCGACCUGAGAGGGUGAUAGGCCACACUGGAACUGGAACACGGUCCAGACUACUACGGGAGGCAGCAGUAGGGAAUCUUCCGCAAUGGGCGAAAGCCUGACGGAGCAACGCCGCGUGAGUGAUGAAGGUCUUCGGAUCGUAAAACUCUGUUAUUAGGGAAGAACAAAUGUGUAAGUAACUAUGCACGUCUUGACGGUACCUAAUCAGAAAGCCACGGCUAACUACGUG